rnacentral:rRNA from 1 species
AUUGAACGCUGGCGGCAGGCCUAACACAUGCAAGUCGAACGAGUGGCGGACGGGUGAGUAAUGUCUGGGAAACUGCCUGAUGGAGGGGGAUAACUACUGGAAACGGUAGCUAAUACCGCAUACCAUCAGAUGUGCCCAGAUGGGAUUAGCUAGUUGGUGGGGUAACGGCUCACCAAGGCGACGAUCCCUAGCUGGUCUGAGAUGAUGACGCGCCCAACUGAAACGGGGCAACGGUCACGCCCCCUAGUGGAGGCACCGGUGGGGAAUUUUGCACAAUGGGCGCAAGCCUGAUGCAGCCCUGCCGCGUGUAUGAAGAAGGCCUUCGGGUUGUAAAGUACUUUCAGCGGGGAGGCGUUACCCGCAGAAGAGGCACCGGCUAAUUCCGUGCCAGCAGCCGCGUAAUAC